AACCCAUGGUUAGGACAUUUUUUGAGCAAUGAUUUAAAUCUCUCCCAGGCUUCACAAAAUGGCUCAUCUAUGCUUUGCCUAAAAGUAGUAAUCUCAGCCUUGGCUU